rnacentral:tRNA from 2 species
AGAGCCUUAGGUUAAGAUAAAUCGAGAGCCUUCAAAGUUCUAGUUGUAAGUAUAGAUUGCUUUCAGGUUCUG